rnacentral:rRNA from 1 species
CUUUACUGUAGCUUGUAUUGUGCCCGGGCUCUGAAUGCGCAGGAUAGGUGGGAGACUAUGAAGCAAUCCUUGUGGGGAUUGUGGAGUCAACGGUGAGAUACCACUCUGUCAGAGCUAGAAUUCUAACCUUCACCCGUUAUCCGGGGAAGGAACCGUAUCAGGGGGGCAGUUUGACUGGGGCGGUCGCCUCCUAAAGUGUAACGGAGGCGCGCAAAGGUGUUCUCAGGCUGGUUGGAAAUCAGCCGUAGAGUGUAAAGGCAGAAGAACGCUUGACUGUGAGAGUGACAACUCGAGCAGGGUGGAAACACGGCCUUAGUGAUCCGACGGUAUGUGCGUGGAAAUGCCGUCGCUCAACGGAUAAAAGUUA